UGGAAUCUGGAGUCUCGCUUGCCCGCCUACUCACGUCCGAAGGGUGUCGGUAUACUCUGGUUUCUCUUCAGAUCGCAUAAAUCUUUCGCCUUUUACUAAAGAUUUCCGUGGAGAGGAACAAUUAUGAGUUCGUAACCAAUUUUUUGAGGCUCUGCUUCGGCAGGGCUCCCCAUCGCGUUAUAAAAAAAGAUUUCAAUUAAUGAAGAAGAAGCUAGAAUCCAAUUGGAGCCGAAGGACCCUCAGAGCGCCCGGACCAGACGUGGCCCACCUGAAAGAGAAAACGGUACAAAGGAGGGAAAGGCCAGGCCCUUCAUGGAGGUUAUAUUUGGAAAGAAGAAUAAUAAUGAUGGUGUUUGUUAAGCGCUUACUAUGUGCCAAAUACUGUUCUAAGCGCUGGGGGACACACAAGGUGAUCAGGUUGUCCCCCGUGGGGCUCACAGUCUUCAUCCUCAUUAGACAGAUGAGGUCACCGAGGCACAGAGAAGCAAAGUGACUUGCCCACAGUCACACAGCUGACAAGUGGCAGAGCUGGAAGUCGAACUCAUGACCUCUGACUCCGAAGCCCAGGCUCUUUCCACUGAGCCACGCUGCUUCCCUACACCUGACAUGUAGAGGAGGUGAAAUUAGAACUUAUGACUGCUGACUCCCAAGCCCAAGCUUUUUCCAUUGAUCCUUGUUUUAAAAGAAAAAAAGCGCAAUGGAUCUACUAACGCCACUGUAGUGCCUUGUCCCCAGCGUUUAGUAAAAACCCUUGCACAUAGAGAGCGCUAUUAUUAAAAAAAGGAAAUGAAUGAGAGCCUCAUGAAAACACUAUUUAUUAGAGCUGUAACUUUCCAAAAACUGAUUUUUCACGAAGGUGUAAGAAUUAUAAUCUUUUCGUAUAAAAGCAAAGAUUGUUUUCUAUUUUUCAAAACCGGUUUGGGGAGCCUCGUAAAAACGAGGCCUCAAAAAAUUAGUUACAAACUCAUAACUGUUCCUCUCCACGGAAAUCUUUAGUAAAAGGCGAAAGAUUUAUGCGAUCUGAAGAGAAACCAGAGUAUACUUCCCUUUUCCGUGCUUCAGAACCCGGAGGACCAGUAAUCCCCUAUACACUCAUGAUGAUUCCCCUCCUCCCUAAUCAGGACUGGCUUUUUCUCUGAAAAGCCAAGUGGGAAGGCUUCUCCCCAACGUGUGUCUUAAAUAAGAACAGGGAGGGAAAAAUUAGAGGUGUUUUAAAUGUAAAAG
rnacentral:lncRNA from 1 species